AAACCAACAGGGAUUGCCUCAGUAACGGCGAGUGAAGCGGCAAAAGCUCAAAUUUGAAAUCUAGCACCUUCGGUGUUCGAGUUGUAAUUUGAAGAUGGUAACCUUGGGUUUGGCUCUUGUCUAUGUUCCUUGGAACAGGACGUCAUAGAGGGUGAGAAUCCCGUCUGAUGAGAUGCCCAUUCCUAUGUAAGGUGCUAUCGAAGAGUCGAGUUGUUUGGGAAUGCAGCUCUAAGUGGGUGGUAAAUUCCAUCUAAAGCUAAAUAUUGGCGAGAGACCGAUAGCGAACAAGUACAGUGAUGGAAAGAUGAAAAGAACUUUGAAAAGAGAGUGAAAAAGUACGUGAAAUUGUUGAAAGGGAAGGGCAUUAGAUCAGACUUGGUGUUUUACGAUUAUCUUCUCUUCUUGAGUUGUGCACUCGUAUUUCACUGGGCCAGCAUCGAUUCGGAUGGUAAGAUAAUGACAGUUGAACGUGGCUCCAUUCGUGGAGUGUUAUAGCUUCUGUUGAUAUUGCCUGUCUGGAUCGAGGGCUGCGUCUUUUGACUAGGAUGCUGGCGUAAUGAUCUAAUGCCGC
rnacentral:rRNA from 1 species